GGAGCUUUGGCCGAGUUGGUUAAGGCGCCAGCUUUAGGCGCUGGUGGGUAACCGCGUGGGUUCGAAUCCCACAGGCUUCA
rnacentral:tRNA from 1 species